UACGUAGGGGGCUAGCGUUAUCCGGAAUUACUGGGCGUAAAGGGUGCGUAGGUGGUUUCUUAAGUCAGAGGUGAAAGGCUACGGCUCAACCGUAGUAAGCCUUUGAAACUGGGAAACUUGAGUGCAGGAGAGGAAAGUGGAAUUCCUAGUGUAGCGGUGAAAUGCGUAGAUAUUAGGAGGAACACCAGUUGCGAAGGCGGCUCUCUGGACUGUAACUGACACUGAGGCACGAAAGCGUGGGGAGCAAACAGG
rnacentral:rRNA from 1 species